rnacentral:rRNA from 1 species
UACGUAGGGGUCGAGCGUUGUCCGGAGUUACUGGGCGUAAAGCGGGUGCAGGCGGCGCAUCGCGCCCGGCGGGAAAGCCCCCGGCUCAACCGGGGAGGGUCGUCGGGGACGGGUGCGCUUGAGGGUAUCAGGGGCAGGUAGAAUUCCCGGUGUAGUGGUGAAAUGCGUAGAGAUCGGGAGGAAUACCCGUGGCGAAGGCGGCCUGCUGGGAUACACCUGACGCUGAGACACGAAGGCGUGGGGAGCGAACGGG